GACAGAGGGUGCAAACGUUGUUCGGAAUUACUGGGCGUAAAGCGCGUGUAGGCUGCUUGGAAAGUCGGAUGUGAAAGCCCUGGGCUCAACCUAGGAAGUGCAUUCGAAACUUCUGAGCUGGAGUGCUGGAGAGGAAGGCGGAAUUCUCGGUGUAGAGGUGAAAUUCGUAGAUAUCGAGAGGAACACCGGUGGCGAAGGCGGCCUUCUGGACAGUAACUGACGCUGAGACGCGAAAGCGUGGGGAGCAAACAGG
rnacentral:rRNA from 1 species